AUUGAACGCUGGCGGCAUGCUUUACACAUGCAAGUCGAACGGCAGCGCGGGCUUCGGCCUGGCGGCGAGUGGCGAACGGGUGAGUAAUGCAUCGGAACGUGCCCAGUAGUGGGGGAUAGCCCGGCGAAAGCCGGAUUAAUACCGCAUACGACCUGAGGGUGAAGGCGGGGGACCGAAAGGCCUUGCGCUAUUGGAGCGGCCGAUGUCGGAUUAGCUAGUUGGUGGGGUAAAGGCUUACCAAGGCGACGAUCCGUAGCUGGUCUGAGAGGACGACCAGCCACACUGGGACUGAGACACGGCCCAGACUCCUACGGGAGGCAGCAGUGGGGAAUUUUGGACAAUGGGGGCAACCCUGAUCCAGCCAUGCCGCGUGCGGGAAGAAGGCCUUCGGGUUGUAAACCGCUUUUGUUCGGGAAGAAAUCCUCUGGGCUAAUACCCCGGGGGGAUGACGGUACCGGAAGAAUAAGCACCGGCUAACUACGUG
rnacentral:rRNA from 1 species